CGAACGGCUGGCCAUCCGUAUGCCAUCCUGGGUUCACUGAAAUCCCCAUCCGUUGCCUUGUCGUUCGGUAGUUUUGGCGUGUCUCUUCCGAAGGUAUGGAGGUCUCAGCGGUGUUCGCCUAUUUGAGUGUCCGAUUUUAGUUCCAGACACUCGACGGCAAACACCGCUGUUCGGGAGAUAAAAUGGCCACGAACACGUGGAAGUCCCAAAAUGGCGGCCGUGCAUACAGUUCCCAUAGCGUUCGUGCGGUUUUUCCACGAAAAUGCCCAUCAGGCAGGGAGGUAAAUUACUCUCAAUUUAGAGUCAGGGUGGCCUGUUAGUACUUAGCAAGCAUUCGCAUGGAGAAUGCUUGUAAAGUCCCGAACUGCAUUUUAAUCCACAAGUCUUUGCUGAAACUGUUCUUUUUGUUACAACAUAUAUAUACCAUUGAGUGAAAGACUAUUGGUC